UGGGCGCAAGCCUGAUGCARCCAUGCCGCGUGUAUGAAGAAGGCCUUCGGGUUGUAAAGUACUUNNAGCGGGGAGGAAGGGAGUAAAGUUAAUACCUUUGSUCAUUGACGUUACCCGCAGAAGAAGCACCGGCUAACUCCGUGCCAGCAGCCGCGGUAAUACGGAGGGUGCAAGCGUUAAUCGGAAUUACUGGGCGUAAAGCGCACGCAGGCGGUUUGUUAAGUCAGAUGUGAAAUCCCCGGGCUCAACCUGGGAACUGCAUCUGAUACUGGCAAGCUUGAGUCUCGUAGAGGGGGGUAGAAUUCCAGGUGUAGCGGUGAAAUGCGUAGAGAUCUGGAGGAAUACCGGUGGCGAAGGCGGCCCCCUGGACGAAGACUGACGCUCAGGUGCGAAAGCGUGGGGAGCAAACAGGAUUAGAAACCCUGGUAGUCCACGCCGUAAACGAUGUCGACUUGGAGGUUGUGCCCUUGAGGCGUGGCUUCCGGAGCUAACGCGUUAAGUCGACCGCCUGGGGAGUACGGCCG
rnacentral:rRNA from 1 species